CCUACGGGUGGCAGCAGUGGGGGAUAUUGCACAAUGGGGGAAACCCUGAUGCAGCGAUGCCGCGUGAAUGAAGACGGCCUUCGGGUUGUAAAGUUCUGUCGCAGGGGACGAAAAUGACGGUACCCUGCAAGAAAGCUCCGGCUAACUACGUGCCAGCAGCCGCGGUAAUACGGAGGGGGCGAGCGUUGUUCGGAGUGACUGGGCGUAAAGGGAGCGCAGACGGCAGGGCAAGUCUGAUGUGAAAGUCCGGGGCUCAACCCCGGGACUGCAUUGGAAACUGUCCGGCUAGAGUGCAGGAGAGGUAAGUGGAAUUCCUAGUGUAGCGGUGAAAUGCGUAGAUAUUAGGAGGAACACCAGUGGCGAAGGCGGCUUACUGGACUGUAACUGACGUUGAGGCUCGAAAGCGUGGGGAGCAAACAGGAUUAGAUACCCGAGUAGUC
rnacentral:rRNA from 1 species